UGGGAGGGUAGGGACCGUUACUGGUCCCUUACUGGUCUGUACUGGGAAGGGAGAGGGGAGGGUCCACCCCCUCGAGGCCCCUCCCCACGCAGUGAUGUCACCGGGUCCCAAAAAUAGCCCCGGGAGGCCCAAACUGGGAGGGGGACCCAGAGCCGCUCCCAGUGCGACCAGUUCAGGUUCAGCCCCGCCAUGGCCCCGAUGGCCCUGGGAUCAGGGUCUCAUGGAACCAAAGGACUGCUGGGACACUGAGGGAACUCACGGAAUCAUGUGUCCGUCGUGACACUGCCCUGCGUCACGGAAGCAAAUGUUCCCUGGGAAACUACAGAAAACCAGGGAAUUAAGGGAUGUCAUUGGGACUUG